GCAUUGAGUAUGGUCACUGGAUUUGGCCCAAAGAGGGUGAAAGGCCCGUCCGGGUGGAGGUUCAGAAAUGUAAGGCAGUUCACCAGGUCGACCUUAGAGUCGGGUUGUUUGAGAAUGCAGCCCAAAGCGGGUGGUAAACUCCAUCCAAGGCUAAAUACAAGCACGAGUCCGAUAGCGAACAAGUACCGUGAGGGAAAGUUGAAAAGUACUCUGAAGAGAGAGUAAACAGUACGUGAAACCGCAUGCAGGUAAACGGGUGGCGUCAAGCUGCAAGCUCAGAGGAUUCAGCCGGCUAGGAUGUUGUGUAUGCGCCUGGCGCAUCCAUCAGUCAGAGUAUGAUUAGAUAGUCCACUGGUAAACGGUGGGCCCGACCGCAAGGUUGGGAUAUGUGUACCGGGUGGGUGCCGGAGCAUGCUAUCUGUCUAGGGACUGUCUAGCCGGUGCACUUUCUCUGUGGCUGACACCACGACCGGUGGUAUUGCCAGUCUGCUGUGUCCAAGUCGUAUCCGGUAGGUCCUUGUGGCCAACUGGGUGCGAUCACAGACAAACUCAGUAUACGGCGUAGAGGGGUUUCGGCUUCUUUGCGUGUUAUCGGCUACUGGUUGUCAACGGGCUGCCUAGUGUUUGUUGUAAUCGGCACUUGGGUAGUCUGGUGGGGCAUGGUGGUAAGAAUAACUGUGCAAGGCACCGGAUUUAUCGGCCUCAAAUGCACUCCGCGCCCAUGUUACAAGUGGUGCUAUGGUGGUGCCGUCGCUGCCUGCUCGGUGUUGGGUCUGAUUGUCGUGUCGCCUGCGAAAAGUGGGCCCGGCUUUGGCUCGACUCGAGAUGGGUAGUGUAUGGUGUCGUCAGUGCGGAGUGUGGUGGGCCUAAUAGUCAGUGGUGUAGUGGUAGACGAGCUACCCGACCCGUCUUGAAACACGGACCAAGGAGUUUAACAUGUAUGCAAGUCAAUGGGCGUUACGAAACCCAAAGGCGCAGUGAAAGUAAAGCUCCGACUU
rnacentral:rRNA from 1 species